rnacentral:rRNA from 1 species
GACGAACGCUGGCGGCGUGCUUAACACAUGCAAGUCGAACGGAAAGGCCUGCUUUCCCUUGUGGAUUGCGGGUACUCGAGUGGCGAACGGGUGAGUAACACGUGAGUGAUCUGCCCCCAACUUGGGUAUAAGCCUGGGAAACUGGGUCUAAUUCCCGAUAGGACUGCAGGGUGGUGCCUGUGGUGGAAAACGAUUUUCUAGUGGUUGGGGAUGAGCUCGCGGCCUAUCAGCUUGUUGGUGGGGGAAUGGCCUACCAAGGCGGCGACGGGUAGCCGGCCUGGGAGGGUGGACGGCCACAUGGGGACUGAGAUACGGCCCAGACUCCUACGGGAGGCAGCAGUGGGGAAUAUUGCGCGAUGGGCGGAAGCCUGAUGCAGCGACGCCGCGUGGGGGAUGACGGCCUUCGGGUUGUAAACUCCUUUCGACCGCGAGGAAGCCACCUGGUUGGAAGGGUGGUGACGGUAGUGGUAGAAGAAGCACCGGCUAACUACGUG